rnacentral:lncRNA from 1 species
AACACCCCUUUCAAAUUUGUUGCCGCUUCAAUAUCAGAAAGUAGCUUAUAAGCAAUUGAUUUGCCCUUAUCUUUUGUCUCCGUUGUUUUUUCUCCCAAUGAUGCUGAGGUAUCCUUUAUAGGCAAUUCUUGUGAAGCUGCCUUCCGAGCCUUGUCUCCUCGAGUUUGCCUCUUAAAAGAAUUUCCUUCUCUAGUAUCAUCAAAAUUUCCUCGUCUUUUUUCUUCCAUCAAAGCUUCAUGUUGGCUCUUAGCAAUAUAUGCAUGAACUGAAAGAGACU